AUUGACCAUAUACCCUUGUGCAGUACUUUUCAUCCCCAUGACUUGUUUAUGUUAUAACUGUAGGUUUGUACCCCAUAAUCCCCUUCAUCUGUUUUGCCCAGCCC